UACGGGGGGGGCAAGCGUUGUUCGGAAUUACUGGGCGUAAAGGGCUCGUAGGCGGCCAACUAAGUCAGACGUGAAAUCCCUCGGCUUACCCGGGGAACUGCCUCUGAUACUGGAUGGCUUGAGAUUGGGAGAGGGAUGCGGAAUUCCAGGUGUAGCGGUGAAAUGCGUAGAUAUCGGGAGGAACACCAGUGGCGAAGGCGAUCACCUGGGGUUGUUCUGACGCUGAGGAGCGAAAGCUAGGGGAGCAAACGGG
rnacentral:rRNA from 1 species